rnacentral:rRNA from 1 species
GGGUCAGUAGGUUGGUCGUGCCACCGGUACGUACUGGUCUCACUGAUUCCUCCUUCCUGAAGAACCGUAAUGCCAUUAAUUUGGUGUUGCGGGGAAACAGGACUGUUACUUCGAAAGAAUUAGAGUGUUUAAAGCAAGCUAACGCUUGAAUACAUUAGCAUGGAAUAAUGAAAUAGGACGAUCGAUCCUAUUUUGUUGGUUUCUAGGAUUGACGUA